GACGAACGCUGGCGGCGUGCUUAACACAUGCCAGUCGAACGAUGAAGCACCAGCUUGCUGGUGUGGAUUAGUGGCGAACGGGUGAGUAACACGUGAGUAACCUGCCCCUCACUCUGGGAUAAGCCUGGGAAACUGGGUCUAAUACUGGAUACGACCGAUCUCCGCAUGGAGUGUUGGUGGAAAGUUUUUGUGGUGGGGGAUGGACUCGCGGCCUAUCAGCUUGUUGGUGGGGUAGUGGCCUACCAAGGCGACGACGGGUAGCCGGCCUGAGAGGGCGACCGGCCACACUGGGACUGAGACACGGCCCAGACUCCUACGGGAGGCAGCAGUGGGGAAUAUUGCACAAUGGGCGAAAGCCUGAUGCAGCGACGCCGCGUGAGGGAUGACGGCCUUCGGGUUGUAAACCUCUUUCACCAGGGACGAAGCUAACGUGACGGUACCUGGAGAAGAAGCACCGGCUAACUACGUG
rnacentral:rRNA from 1 species